AAUAUUGGUCAAUGGGCGCAAGCCUGAACCAGCCAACCCCCGCGUGCAGGAAGACGGCCCUAUGCGUUGUAAACUGCUUUUCCAGGGAGAGAAACUUGCGCACGUGUUGCGCAAUUGACGGUACCCUGGGAAUAAGCAUCGGCUAACUCCGUGCCAGCAGCCGCGGUAAUACGGAGGAUGCGAGCGUUAUCCGGAUUCAUUGGGUUUAAAGGGUGCGUAGGCGGACUAUUAAGUCAGUGGUGAAAUCCUGCACCUUAACUGCAAAACUGCCAUUGAUACGGAUAGCCUUGAUUUUGGUUAAGGUAGGCGAAAUGUGUAAUGUAGCGGUGAAAUGCUUAGAUAUUACACAGAACACCAAUUGCGUAGGCAGCUUACUGAGCCGACCCUGACGCUAAGGCACGAAACCGUGGGGAUCGAACAGGAUUAGAUACCCUGGUAGUCCACGCCGUAAACGAUAAUAACUCGCUGUUGGCAAUACACUGUCAGCGGCUAACCAAAAGCAAUAAGUAAUCCACCUGGGGAGUACGGCCGCAAGGUUGAAACUCAAAUGAAUUGACGGAGGG
rnacentral:rRNA from 1 species